UACGAAGGGGGCUAGCGUUGCUCGGAAUUACUGGGCGUAAAGCGCACGUAGGCGGUCUUUUAAGUCGGGGGUGAAAUCCUGGAGCUCAACUCCAGAACUGCCUUCGAUACUGGAAGACUCGAGUCCGGGAGAGGUGAGUGGAACUGCGAGUGUAGAGGUGAAAUUCGUAGAUAUUCGGAGGAACACCAGUGGCGAAGGCGGCUCACUGGACCAUUACUGACGCUGAGGUGCGAAAGCGUGGGGAGCGAACAGG
rnacentral:rRNA from 1 species